GAUGAACGCUGGCAGAAUGCUUAACACAUGCAAGUCGACUGUGGCGGACGGGUGAGUAACGCGUAAAGGACUUGCCUAACAGAUAGGGACAACAUUUGGAAACGAAUGAUCAUCCCUGAAACUGUGAGAGAGCUUUGCGUCCCAUUAGCUCGUGGGAGAGGUACCGGCUCACCAAGGCGAUGAUGGGUAGCCGGCCUGAGAUGGUGAUCGGCCACAGGGGGACUGGGACACGGCCCUUACGCCUCCGGGAGGCAGCAGUGGGGAAUUGUGGACAAUGGACCAAAGUCUGAUGCAGCAAUUCUGUGUGCACGAUGAAGUUUUCGGAAAGUAAAGUGCUUUCAGUUGGGAAGCAGUACCAACAGAAGAAGUGACGGCUAAAUACGUGCCAGCAGCCGCGGUAAUAC
rnacentral:rRNA from 1 species